CAGAUGGAGCCGGGAGUUUGCUCUCUCAAACUGAGGAGAAGUGAGCGCCUAGCAACAGCAGCAUGGCCGCCUUCCUAUUACAGCCCAGCGAGUUAAUGGCAGCUCCCUGAGUUUGCCCUCUGGACAGCAGACCUUUGGGAAUGUGAAAAAAAGCUGGAUGCUGAGACUGAGAGUUUCACAUCCCUCAGUCCUCUGCUCAUCUGAGUGGUCCGCUCAUCGCCUGAGGCUGUUCGUCUGAUAAAGGUGUGCCCAGACAACUCUCUACUGACUGUCUCCUUGUUCCAGAAGUUACCCUACCCUCAUUUCUCUGACUGGACACAGACAUUUGCAGAGAACCUGAAAUUAUUAUAUAAGGGUUCUACAAAAAAAAUUAGUCACUAGGU